UACGUAGGGGGGCAAGCGUUGUCCGGAAUCAUUGGGCGUAAAGCGCGCGUAGGCGGCCCGGUAAGUCCGCUGUAAAAGUCAAAGGCUCAACCUUUGAAUGCCGGUGGAUACUGUCGGGCUAGAGUCCGGAAGAGGCGAGUGGAAUUCCUGGUGUAGCGGUGGAAUGCGCAGAUAUCAGGAGGAACACCGAUAGCGAAGGCAGCUCGCUGGGACGGUACUGACACUGAGGCGCGAAAGCGUGGGGAGCGAACAGG
rnacentral:rRNA from 1 species